ACCUUCGUGGUGUAACGGUAGCACACUCGGCACGCAUUCGAGAGGUCCAGGUUCGAUUCCCGGCGAGGGCA
rnacentral:tRNA from 1 species